rnacentral:rRNA from 1 species
UUUAAGGAGGAUCAAUUGGAGGGCAAGUCUGGUGCCAGCAGCCGCGGUAAUUCCAGCUCCAAUAGGAUAUAUCAAAGUUGUUGCAGUUAAAAAGCUCGUAGUUGAAGUUUUGGAGAGUAGUCUUUGUCUUUUCCGGCUUGGGGAGCAAUCCUCUUCGGGAAGGGCACUCUCUCCACAUUGUGGACCAUCCCUUUUUGUUUUUGCGAUUUUUUUCGCGAAAGCAGAAAGGGCCACUCCGUCACUGAGAGCAAAUUGGAGUGCUCAAAGCAGGCUUUACAGCUUUGAACAUAUUAGCUUGGAAUGACAAGAUACGACUCUGGUCGGUUUAUUUUGUUGGUUAUUUAGACUAGAGUAAUGAUUAACAGGAACAGUAGCGGGGGUACUCGUAUUGAAAGGUCAGAGGUGAAAUUCUUGGAUUCUUUCAAGACGAACGACUGCGAAAGCAUUUACCAAGGAUGUUUUCAUUAAUCAAGAACGAAAGCUUGGGGAUCGAAGAUGAUUAGAUACCAUCGUAGUCCAACGCCAUAAACGAUGCCGACUCGGGAUUGGUAGGUGUUCUUUUUAAAACAUGAACCCUAUCAGCACCGUAUGAGAAAUCAAAGUCUUUGGGUUCCGGGGGGAGUAUAGUCGCAAGGAAGAAACUUAAAGGAAUUGACGGAAGGGCACACCAGAGGUGGAGCCUGCGGUUUAAUUUGACCCAACACGGGGAAACUUACCAGGUCCAGACAUGAUGAGGAUUGACAGUUUGAAAGCACUUUCUUGAUUUCAUGGGUGGUGGUGCAUGGCCGUUCUUAGUUGGUGGAGUGAUUUGUCUGGUUGAUUCCGAUAACGAACGAGACGGGGGGAGUUUACUAGUUUGCAUAAUCUAAUUCGCGUUAGAUGGAACUUCUUUACUCGACAACUCGGUUUUACCGAGAGGAAGCGCCCCGCAAUAACAGGUCUGUGAUGCCCUUAGAUGUUCUGGGCUACACGCGCGCUACAAUGACGAGUUCAACGAGUUUUUUUAUUCCUUGUCCGGAAGGAUGUGGGUAAUCUUUUCAAUGCUCGUCGUAAUGGGGCUAGAUUUUUGCAAUUAUUAAUCUUCAACGAGGAAUCUCUAGUAUGUGCAGUUCAUCAGACUGCGCAGAAUGCGUCCCUGCCCUUUGUACACACCGCCCGUCGCACCUACCGAUUGGACGAUCCGGCAAGAUGUUUGGAGUGUUGUGUUUGUGUGAUUUCGAUCAUGUGAACAUGACGCAAAGCUCUUCAAACCUUAUCGUCUAGAGGAAGGUGAAGUCGUAACAAGGUCUCCGUAGGUGAACCUGCGGAGGG